UCUUUUUUCUCUCUCUUUUCUUUUUUUGCUUUCUCUUUUUUCUCUUCGAUUUGCGUGACGUCUCCAAGCAAAUCAUCAUAGUAUGUUUUAAAUGCUUUUUCAAAAGAAGAGAAAAGAGCAUCAUUUUCCACAGCUUUUUGCGAAAUUUCUAAUUGUGAGAGUUUGUUUUUGUUUCCAAAACGAGAUUCAAUUUCAAAUUUGUGAUUCAACGUUUGCUGAUACUCU
rnacentral:ribozyme from 13 species